rnacentral:rRNA from 1 species
CGGCACGCCUUAUACAUGCAAGUCGAACGAAGUAGCAAUACUUAGUGGCAGACGGGUGAGUAACAUGUAGGUAUCUUCCCUUUGGUGAGGAAUAACACGAGGAAACUUGUGCUAAUACCUCAUAAGUCUUUACGGAGAAAGCUUUAUGCGCCGAAGGAUGAGCCUGCACUUGAUUAGUUUGUUGGUGGGGUAAUGGCCUACCAAGACUUUGAUCUAUAGCUGAUCUGAGAGGAUGAUCAGCCACAUUGGGACUGAGACACGGCCCAAACUCCUACGGGAGGCAGCAGUAGGGAAUAUUGCACAAUGGAGGAAACUCUGAUGCAGCGAUGCCGCGUGAGUGAAGAAGGCCUUUGGGUUGUAAAGCUCUUUCGUCGGGGAAGAAAAUGACUGUACCCGAAUAAGAAGGUCCGGCUAACUUCGUGCCAGCAGCCGCGGUAAUACGAAGGGACCUAGCGUAGUUCGGAAUUACUGGGCUUAAAGAGUUCGUAGGUGGUUAAAAAAGUUGGUGGUGAAAUCCCAGAGCUUAACUCUGGAACUGCCAUCAAAACUUUUUAGCUAGAGUAUGAUAGAGGAAAGCAGAAUUUCUAGUGUAGAGGUGAAAUUCGUAGAUAUUAGAAAGAAUACCAAUUGCGAAGGCAGCUUUCUGGAUCAUUACUGACGCUGAGGAACGAAAGCAUGGGUAGCGAAGAGGAUUAGAUACCCUCGUAGUCCAUGCCGUAAACGAUGUGUGUUAGACGUUGGAAAUUUAUUUUCAGUGUCGCAGCGAAAGCAUUAAACACACCGCCUGGGGAG